ACAGAGAGAGGAAACAAACAAACAAACAUAUAGGUAGGACUUAGUGAGUGACUGACACAGUGAGUGAGUAAGUGCAUAUUGUUUGGUGGAGUUGUAUAUAUUUUCUGUUGGUGUGAAAGGUGUGUGUAUAGAUAGCUAGGUAAGUUAAAGAAAAAGAAGGGCAAUGGACCCAACAAUUGCGAAGCAAGCGAUUCAUUACAAACUCCACAAGAGAUUUCCAGAUGGCAGUAUAUCAAAGGAGAAGACAUGCAGAAACCUUUAGGCUCAAAGAUGGAGAGUUCAUCUAUAUAUGCAGAAGAAGGAAAACCAUCCUGAGCACCUGCAAAGGUGGUCAGAAGUGCAGAGGAGGCCACUUCUAUCUUCGAAGAAUUCCAUUCCAGUAAAUUAGGUGGCCACUUUGGGGUGGAAAAGACCCACAGCUCCAUCAUUAACCGCUACUACUGGCCAGGAAUUUUGAAAGAUAUCUGCAAGUGGAUUUCUUAAUGCCCUCAAUGCCAGUCGAAUAAGGGCCCAUUUAAAGGAAAAAAAGGAAUAUAUUCCUAUUGAGGUUACAGAGCCUCUGGAGCUCACAGGAAUGGAUCUGGUGGAUGAACUCACUCAAACAGAGGUUGGUAAUCAGUACAUGUGUGUGUCAUGGUUGAUUAUUUCACCAAAUGGGCCAAGGCCCACCCACUAAAAAGUAAAACAGCAGAGGAGGUCACAAAACCACAGUUUUACGUCACUAAAAACGAUCUUUUCUGAAAACUCCAGCCAAAGUGGAGCUUUUGGAAAACUCCUGUUUCGUGGUUACAUGUGUGCGCCAGAAAGUGGCGUUUUUGGUUCUCAAACGUCACAGCUUGCGCCAUGUUUGAAUCUCUGGCGGAAGAGACAGAAUGAGGGAAGUUCAUUCUGAUUGGCUUGCACGGGUGUCACAUCUGAAAAACACUGCCACCUAUGGGUUUGGUAUGCUUAGAGCAGUAUUUAACGGUGGAUUUGCGGUUAUGUGUGGACGAGGGUUUUUUUGGUUUAACAAUCAGGUGUGGACGAAAGUAUUUUUAAAAACGAAUGAAGGGGGAUAUUCAUUUUAGAAAAUACUCAGCUACGUGUGUACAAGGCCUGAAGGUUCAUCACCAGGUGAGGAGAUCUUGAUUGCCAAGGAUUAUCUGCAGCUGGGAGCGUCAAUGAGUGACGCCAGCUGAGCUGGAACUUAAGUGGGUGAGUUAAAAAGUUUUACUCCAGCAGAAUUUACUGUUUUUUACUA